rnacentral:misc_RNA from 1 species
GAGAUAGGGGAGCUUGUGGGUGUCGGGCUCAGUGAUUUGGACUCCUGGGCCGAGGACAGUGUCAAUCUCGUGGCGGAGCUUGCUUUGGAUGGCGGGGUGGUUGACAAGCUCAGCGAUGCCCCAUUCGAUGGACCAGAGGGUUGUUUCAAUGGCAGCGACGUUGAUGUUUUCAAUGAUGUAGAGGACGUUGUCUUCGUUGAUUUCGCCCUUCUUCUCAGCAUCGAGGAUGUGGUCGAUGGCACAUUUCAGCUGGUUGUUGUCUGCUGGUUUCGUACUUGCAAGCUUCUUCCUCUCAUCAAGGAAAUAGUCCUUGAACAGCUUCAGCCUCCUGUCCUUCACCUCCUUGCAGAUCUUCAAGUACCCCCUCAAGAACGGCCGCAAAAUCGGAAUAAAAUCACCAUAAUUAUAUUCAAAGCUCUGCGCCAACCUACUCCGCUCCCCAUUCAACUCCUUCAGCUUCAAGAACAGCGGAUCCUCCUCGCUCUCAAACCUCCUAUCAAACAUAAUCCGGUACAUAUUAUUAUACAUCAUAAGCUGCAACCUCUUUCUCAGCACCAAUCCCUUAGUGGCAGCAUCAGGAUUAGAUUUAACAUCUUCAACAACUAAUCUCGCUUCCUCCUCCCACCCGGCCCGGUACUGUUGAACAACUUUAUUAGUGAAGAAAGGGACGGUCAUUAUCCGCCGCAUCUUGCGCCAGUGCUCGCCGUAGACAGUGAAGACCAUGUCCUGUCCCUCGCCGGUGAAAAUGUCGAAGACGACGUUGCGGGUGCGGGAGCCGAACUCGACGCCCUGCGUGUGGAGGACCUCGCGGGCGAGGUCGGGGGAGGAGACGACGACGAGGUUGCGCUGGCCCAUGCGGAGGAGGAGGGCGUCGCCGAAGCGGCGGGCGAGGGCGGCGAGGUUGCGGUGGUUGAGGUCGUCGCCGACCUGGAGCCAGUUGCCGAGGAUGGGGAGAGAGAGGGGGCCCGGGGGGAAACGGAGGCGGCGGCCGCGGAGGUGGGAGAGGGCGGCGGCGAGGGCCGCAGCGGCGAAGAGUGCGAGGAGGGCUUUUUCGAGAAGUAGGAGGUCCAUGGUG